ensembl:lncRNA
GUCCAUUAGUGAAAAGCAUCUAGAUGCCGAAUUUCUGCACUGGAAGCCAAAAAUGAAACCCAGAGCUGGAGCCCCUAAUAAAGUUGGCCAGGAGAAAAGUUCCCUCUCCUGCUUCCAUUUAUUGGGGGCUCUGGCUUGCUGUGCUGUGUAGUGGGAAGCAGUGAUGCUGUGUGUGAAGACUCAUCCGGGUUGGUCACUGAUGAAGAAAACCUUCUCAGCUGCCAAGAUGCAAAAAAAAAUAAUAAAUUGGUUUGGAUCAACAAAAAAUACGUUUCUUCUCGCCACAGUGAAACACUGACCAAUUUCCCAUUUGACUCAACCAUCUGUUCUGCAAGCAUCUGACACUACAUGGAGCCAAAGGUGAGAAUCAGAAGGCUGCCAGGCAGGAGCCCUCCUCUUCCUCUUCCCCCUCACUGCCCUCCACCCAGGUAACUCGGAGGUUAGGGCGCUUCAGGGGAAACCCGAGCUUGCUUCUGCCUCCUUUCCUUGCCCAGAUGCUGGAAGUGGGCAUCCUUCUCCCGUGGCAGGCUGUUAUUUGUAAAUGCUUCAUGGGUGCAGCUAUUACAGGGUGUCUCAUUCUGGAGUCCAUGUCUCAGCUACUGAGUUAGAAAACAGACUUCCUCCUUAUCUUCUGCGUUAAUGAUGCCAACAUCGCAGAUAUGCCUUCCAGAGGAGCCUGGUAAUUCUCAUGGCAGAUGGUGAAGGGGCUGGAAGUCCUCUCAAGGAAAUGGGGAGGAACAGGUGGGGACACACGGCAGAGUCUGUCUUGCCAGUGUCCUUAGUGCAAAACUUUAGCCAACAUUAAUCUGUGUUUUCUGAAGUUCAUGUCCAGAUCUGAGGCUGUUUUUGAGAAGUGUGGAUUUAGUUCUUUGUAGAGGAGCAUUUAUUUUUCACAGUAGAGGGACUCUCCAGAGUAUCGUGCUUGAGACAGAGCUUAAAAAAUACGGUGCCUUGUCUUUUGAAAAUGUUCUGAAGAGCUGCUGCAUGGUUUCAGAUGAGGGCCACAAUUAUGCUCUGGAGGUUGUCAUGGGGAAGGAUGCUGCUCGGUCUUUCUCUUUUCUUUUUACUGGAGUUGGCAUGAAAAUGGAUUAUUCUAAGCCGUCUCCCUGUCUUGCUGUCCUGUUUGUCAGGUUCCUGCAGUCACAUUCCCUGCUUUUUUCAUUUUCAGUUUUCAUAAACUGCGCUCCUUUUCCUUGGGUUCUGGUGAUUAAUUGUGAUGACAAGUGGAAAUAUUCCAAAAUAAAUCUAUCCUCAUGGCCCUCUGCAAAGUCCACUGCGAGAGCUCUGCGCAGCCUCACCAGUUCGGAGGGAGGUGGGGAAGCACAAGAUUUAUGUCAGAGCAGCUUUCGCGUGGCGCCCUGUAAUGCUGCAGUUGUUUGGGUAGGGGCUGUGUUUUCCCAUAAGGAGCAAAUAAUUUUCAUUCAACCCAGGAAACUAAAGGAAACCAGGAGGAAGUCCUGCUUGUCAGGGGCUCCAUGGAUGUGCAGAGACCAGCGGGCGCUCCAAAGCUGGGCACUGACAGAGCAGAGGUGGGGUCACAGCCGGAAUUGCUCAUGCCACAGGGUAAAAACAGCAGCACUGGGAGUCCAAAUGCUGUGGGUGUCUGAAGAGUCCGUGAGCACUGGGGUGAAGGUGCUGGGGUCGCUGUACUUCUGCUUUUCAGAGUCCAGACCAAUCCUCCAAGCUCAGGUCUCGCUGGCGGAGACUGCUCCCUCUUCAUGCUUCAUUUUCCCACUGUCAGUGUUUUCUACCACCUGCCUUGUUCUCUGUUCGCCUUGA